rnacentral:rRNA from 1 species
UACGGAGGGGGCAAGUGUUGUUCGGAAUUACUGGGCGUAAAGGGCGCGCAGGCGGCUUGGCAAGUCGAGUGUGAAAUACCUCAGCUUAACUGAGGAACGGCGCUCGAAACUACCUCGCUUGAGGGCGGGAGAGGGAAGUGGAACUCUCGGUGUAGGGGUGAAAUCUGUAGAUAUCGAGAGGAACACCGGUGGCGAAGGCGGCUUCCUGGCCCGUACCUGACGCUGAGGUGCGAAAGCGUGGGGAGCAAACAGG